rnacentral:lncRNA from 1 species
UAAACAGUGUUUAAUUGUCUUGUUUUACAUUAAAUUUCUUUUAUUCUUUUUCUAAUUUGCUGUAGAACUUCACCUUCGAAUGUGCAUGGCAACUCUCUCAGGUUUAUUGAGACACUCGCAAGAUCCUCAGUGAAGGGAAGGUCAGGACUGUGGGAGAAAUGAACCCAGAUGACAAACUGAAGUCCAAAUUUCCAGCAAGGUAUCUUUCUGAGCUGCUGGCACCACAAGUGUUUCAGAAAAGCAACAGCAGCCCUUCAAGAGCCCUGCAAACCUUCCAGCACCUUGAAAACCUGUCAUGCCUCUUUGGCUUCUCAGAGUUUAAUAAAGGUACAUAAUAGCAUAGGCCACCCCAAACUGUUUCAAUCUUCCUUUCAAUCUUGAAGACUGAACUCUCGUAUGUUUAAUUUAAAGGUAUUUGUCCUGUGAGCAAAAUCUGCUGCCAGAAGCAUUAGUGUGCUUUCAAAGGACGUUCCUCAAAUACGAAUGAGCUGAGUCCCUGUGAACAUUUUAAUAGAUCCAGCAGUGCUGGAAGCUAAAAGUAAAGCUGCCACCUUUCAUGUCCAACCAGAACUUUUCCCCUGCUGCUUAAUAUUUUUGUUCCUGGCAUUUUACAAAAAUAGUCAGUCUUGCUCAGCCUGGGAGAUUUGUAUAAAUUCAUGUUCACAACAGUUAACUUGAUUCUGUCAAAACUGGUGUAUAUGCUGUAAGAUAUUGCCCCUUGGAAAGAUAGGAGAUGCUUUUUCAAGAUGGUAAGUGUCUGUGAAUAAGUAAAAUUUCAUUGAUGCCAAAACACUUAUGGGAACUUAUUUGUUUCAGCUUGAUUUGUGUUGAAAACUCCAAGUGAAACCAGGUCAAAGAUUUUGACUGGGAUCUCUGCAGUUCUCCUCACACCU